rfam:Ixodes scapularis strain Wikel colony gcontig_1107728729142, whole genome shotgun sequence.
GCCUCGGUGGCUCCGAGUCGAGAGCGCCGGCCUAUGAAUCCCCAUGUGGUGGGUUCGAAUCCCGGCCGAGGUG